ACGGGAGGCAGCAGUGGGGAAUAUUGCACAAUGGGGGAAACCCUGAUGCAGCGACGCCGCGUGAGUGAAGAAGUAUUUCGGUAUGUAAAGCUCUAUCAGCAGGGAAGAAAAUGACGGUACCUGACUAAGAAGCCCCGGCUAACUACGUGCCAGCAGCCGCGGUAAUACGUAGGGGGCAAGCGUUAUCCGGAUUUACUGGGUGUAAAGGGAGCGUAGACGGCGAUGCAAGUCUGAUGUGAAAGCCCGGGGCUCAACCCCGGCACUGCAUUGGAAACUGUGUUGCUAGAGUGCAGGAGAGGUAAGUGGAAUUCCUAGUGUAGCGGUGAAAUGCGUAGAUAUUAGGAGGAACACCAGUGGCGAAGGCGGCUUACGGGACUGUAACUGACGUUGAGGCUCGAAAGCGUGGGGAGCAAACAGGAUUAGAUACCCUGGUA
rnacentral:rRNA from 1 species